GGUCGAGUAGUUCAAUGGUUAGAACGGACGCCUAGGAGUUUAAUGAUAGUUCAAUUCUAUCCUCGACCA
rnacentral:tRNA from 1 species